rnacentral:rRNA from 1 species
CUGGCUUUCCGGGUACGGGAUUGGGUCGAUUCUGGAGAAGGAGCCUGAGAACGGCUACUACAUCUACGGAAGGCAGCAGGCGCGUAAAUUACCCAAUCCUUGUCCUCCCCCACGUGGUGACAAGAUAUAACAACGCAAUUUCAUUGUGAUUGUAGUGAGGGUAUUCCAAACCGAACCACUAGUACGAUUAGAGGGCAAGUCUGGUGCCAGCAGCCGCGGUAAUUCCAGCUCUAAUAGCGUAUAUUAAAGUUGCUGCAGUUAAAAAGCUCGUAGUUGGAUUUCAAGGAUUGUGUACUCUUUCAGAGUAUGCACCCUUCUUUUCCUCUUGACUUGUUACUGUGAGAAAAUUAGAGUGUUUAAAGCAGCUAUUGCAAAAUACAUCUAGCAUGGAAUAACGAAUGUAUCUAGAAUCUUGGUUAAUCUAGGUUUCGAUUAUAGAGACAGCUGGGGGCAGAGGACGCACGCAGAGGGAAAUUCUUGGAUUUGUUAAGACUUACUGUAUGCUUUAUCAUUUGCAAGGAUGUUUUCAUUAAUCAGGACCGAAAGACACCGCCAUCCACGACAUCAGAUACUGUCGUAGUCCUAUCUAUAAACUAUUGCCGACUAGGAUGAUGAAAAUCACCAUUUCAGUACCUUAUGAGAAUCAAGUCUUUGGGUUCUUGGGGGGAGUAUGUCGCAGACUGACCUAAGUAUUGACCGUAUGGACCACAGGAUGGAGCUGGCGCUAUCUGACUCAACCGGCACUACAGUCGACUUGUAGAUGCGAUUGAAGCCUCCUUGAUCUAAGGGUGGUGGCAUGGCGUUCU